rnacentral:lncRNA from 1 species
GGACGAGCUUUCUCUCUCAGCCGUUGCUAUUGCCACUUCUCUUACCAAUGUCACCGGCUUCAGCCUCAUCGUAAAUUCCUCCUCCUCCUCCUCCUCCUUCUCUCUCGACUUAUAGACCUGUCCAAAGGACAAACAUGCUAAGCAAAAAAUUAGGGUCGCCAAAUUUUUUUUAUUUUUAAAUAUUAAUGCAACUUCACUUUUUUUAGUAGUUAUAUCUUUAGGACUACCAAUUUUUUGUUUUGAUAGAAACUUACACCUUUUCAAAGUUAUGGGAGUGUACACAUUUCUUGUUUCAUAACUAGGACCACUAUUUUUAUUGGACCGACUUUGCUGACUUAGAUCGUUAGUUUGGAUUGGCAGGUGCGUUAGAGACACUGUGUGGUCAAGCUUUUGGAGCUGGGCAAUUUAGGAAUAUCAGUGCAUACACUUACGGCUCAAUGCUAUGUCUUCUCUUGGUCUGUUUCCCAAUCUCACUUUUGUGGGUUUUUAUGGACAAACUCUUGGAGCUUUUCCAUCAAGAUCCUCUUAUCUCUCAAUUAGCUUGUAGAUACUCAAUCUGGCUCAUACCGGCUUUAUUCGGAUACUCUGUUCUUCAAUCUAUGACUCGAUUUUUCCAGUCACAAGGAUUGGUUCUACCUCUCUUCUUGAGCUCUCUUGGAGCUCUCUUUUUUCACGUUCCCUUUUCGUGGCUUCUUGUCUAUAAACUGAGAUUCGGAAUCGUCGGCGCCGCUUUGUCCAUAGGUUUUUCGUAUUGGCUCAACGUAGGUUUGCUUUGGGCUUUCAUGAGAGACUCUGCUCUCUAUCGAAAAAACUGGAAUCUUCGGGCACAAGAAAUCUUUUUGAGCAUGAAGCAGUUCAUUACCCUAGCAAUUCCCACUGCAAUGAUGACUUGGUAACAAAAUCCUCUAAAUUUUUUAAAUUUGUUUGUUUUGAUUUUCAAUGGAUCCCUGUCAUUAGGGCUUCUUGAUCUUUGGUCGUCAUUGGAUCUUUGAUUCUAUAUUUUAUGUUUUUUGGGCGUAUGUAAAGCCUGGAAUGGUGGUCGUUUGAGCUUCUUAUACUAAUGUCAGGACUCUUACCAAACUCAAAGCUCGAAACAUCGGUCCUAUCCAUUUGGUAUUGUACAGAUAUCACUUUCUACAAAUUUUAGUAUAACAUUUUUUCAUUCAAACAAGCUUUUGACCUCUCAGUCUUUAUUCUUUGAACAGCCUAACAAUGUCGUCUCUGCAUUACGUUAUCGUGAAUGCCAUAGGAGCAGCAGCGAGGUUUUAUAGUUUCCCAACUGUUCAUAACAAUCUAUCAUAUCUAUUUGUUCUUGAAACAUUUCUCUGAACCAUUGUUUUUGUCAUAUAAUAGCACACAUGUCUCAAACAAGCUAGGAGCUGGAAAUCCAAAGGCAGCUCGAUCUGCGGCUAAUUCUGCGAUUUUUCUUGGCAUGAUUGAUGCAGCCAUAGUAAGCAUCAGUCUCUACAGCUACAGAAGAAAUUGGGCUUAUAUAUUCAGUAAUGAGAGUGAAGUCGCUGACUAUGUCACUCAAAUCACACCCUUUCUCUGUCUAUCAAUUGGUGUUGACAGCUUUCUCGCCGUACUCUCAGGUAAACAGUUCACAUCAAAAUCGAAAGUCUGUAUACAUUAGAAUGUACAGAUCGAAGCCUUUGCAGCUGUUACUUGACCACCAAGAAAGCUAAAUGUUCUUGUUCUUAGAAACCCUAAAAUUCUUGCUUCUUCAGGAGUUGCUAGAGGAACAGGGUGGCAACAUAUAGGAGCUUAUGCAAACAUAGGAUCGUAUUAUCUAGUCGGGAUCCCGGUAGGUUCAAUCUUGUGUUUUGUAGUGAAAUUGAGAGGGAAAGGACUUUGGAUCGGUAUAUUGGUAGGUUCCACUCUACAAACGAUUGUUCUUGCUCUUGUCACUUUCUUCACCAAUUGGGAACAAGAGGUAUAUAUACCUUUGCCUUUUUUAUAUUGUAUUUUUCCUCUUCUGUUUUGCUAGAGUUUUGAAUCUUGUUCUGAUUUGGGUUUUAGGUAGCGAAGGCUAGAGACAGAGUAAUCGAGAUGAUACCACAAGAAAUCAUAUGAAAAGAAGAUGUACAACUUUUAUUCAAGGAUAUUUCAGAAAAUGUGUAAAAUACUAAACUUUAAGUAAAGUAUGGUCCGGUUUCUUUUAUUUGUCAAAUUUAACGGAUGUUGAUUAGCAACUGAAACUACUGGAUUCGUUGAAUGCACACAAGUUGAGAAAUUGAGAGCCAAACACACAUCUUGAAUUUUGAUUAUAGGGAGUUCUUCACAAAGUUUUGGUGAAUUAAUUAUUUUCUAUUUAUGGAAAUAAUUUUUCUUUUUUACACUUUCUUAAAUUUUCUUUCUGUAAAUACGUUGACUAUUUUAACCUUCUGUACAACGAAGGGAAACACAAAAUCACAUGCACAAGUUGUUUAAUCUGAUGCGGAUUCGUGUGGACAUAUAUAAAUUCACAUUCGUGUAUGACCAUAUUUUUGUUUUGAUAUUCAUUUAUACAAUUUUGUUUUAAUAUAUAUCGUCAGAGUGAAAAGGCAUAUGGGCUAUAUAUAUUCUUUUUUUCUAAACACUGCAUAGAAUUCUAAACAAAAUGAAAAUAUUUAAUCUGGUAAAAUAUACAUAUAAAAGUCAUAUCGCACGGAACAUGUUGCAUGAUGGAUAUUUCGGAGGAGUUCAAGGGAGAACCAACUAAGCAACGUUUCUACUAUGAGAAUGCCGUUUAAGAGCAGGCCAUAUUGUACAAGGUCCUAAAUUUCUGAAACUUUAACAUUAACUCUCUUUAAAAAAAAUAUAUCUUAAACACUUCUAAAAAUAAAAUAAUUUUGUUUGGCCACCUGAUUUCUCAGGACCGGCUCUAUUUGUGAGGCCACAUUGCAAGUUAAGAAAAUUCCAAAUGUUACUACACUAAUACCUUAAAGUCUCAACCUUGGACCCAAAAAUUCCGUGCUCCAUUUAUCGAUGGACUUAAAAGAGAAACUAAACAAGAGUUGUAAUACUAUGGGGUUUAGUCGGUAGACAAAGCCAUUGAUGUGACCAACUCACUCUUAAAUUUCUAAACUGUCGACCGACCCAGGACCUUCGAGAUGAGGGGAGUGUUGUAUUCGAUCCGGUCAACCUAAGACCUUCGAGAGAAAGGUGGGAUAUACACAAAGGUUGAGGAGAAAUUGAAAUUAGUACGUUUACAUCAACAUACUACGGUAAUUGUUAAUAUUGUAGGAAUUGUAGCUUUAAUAAACUACAAUAUAAUUUACUUUCAAUGAUUUUCAUGAUUUUUUUUUUUUAAUCCUAAUCUCUCCAGUUACAAAACAUGACCUUACUUAUAAAACCAUCAAACCUUAUGGAAUUCUUUAGCACAUAUAUGAUACAAUUGAAUGUAAAACUAUAAUCCCAUAUUUUAUCGUGGAAGAUGAUAAGCUUAAUGAGGUUCGAGUAACGGAGACGGACAAGAGACUUACUUACUUUGUUUGGUCUCCGAUUUGAGAAGACUACGAACACAAUACUACACUGGGAUUAGAGGUACCAUAUCCUUUCAGUCGGAUCCCCUGGCUCAUCUUCGUUUUCAACCCUUCAAUAGAUAUAUGACCCAACUGAUUAUAUACGGUCCUAAAAGGCUCCAUAUACAAAAUAAUACAUGUAAUAAAACUAGCGUUUUGAAAUUUAUAUAUUCAUAACUGUUUCAAUCACUCUCGUAACUAUGGAUGUAAGAUUGCUGGUUAUAUGGAUUUGUAUAGAUAAUAGUUAUAUCAAAAGCUUAAAAAAGAGACAAUAAAGCAAAUAAAAGGUGAUGACAGAAGGCUAGAGAGCACAAAGGAGUAAGAUGCAAAGAACAUGCUCCGAAUUGUAUCUCAUCAUCUGUGCUCUCUAUCUUCUGUCAACACUAUCAAUGCCUCUCAAUUCUCAAACAAUUAAAUAUCGAUAUUUUGAUUUACGAUUGAAAAAAAGAUAUUAAAAGAACAUGAUACAUACCUCUAUGAACAUCACGAACUUGAUAAAAAAGAAAUCAAAGUUGAUGAUCCUUUUUGCUAAUUAUACUCGCCAGUUUUUCAAUGGCAUAAGGCUUAUAUAAGAGAAUUAUAUGAUAUAGAUAUAUAUGGAUGGCGUAGAGAAGUACCAAAAGGGUUGUUGAUGAGAUGAUGAUGAUGAGAUUUCUUGAAGCCUCUAUUUAUAGACACAUAGAGAGCAACGAAAUGAUUUCUCUCCGCUCAAACUAAAAUCGAUCAUUAUUUUACACAAAUCUGGAAUAAUUGUUGUAAUUAAUUUAUUCGUUUGGUAUAUACAGCUUUUAAAUUUUAUUCUUAAA